AUUGAACGCUGGCGGCAUGCCUUACACAUGCAAGUCGAACGGUAACAGGUCUUCGGAUGCUGACGAGUGGCGAACGGGUGCGUAAUACAUCGGAACGUGCCCGAUCGUGGGGGAUAACGGAGCGAAAGCUUUGCUAAUACCGCAUACGAUCUACGGAUGAAAGCCGGGGACCGCAAGGCCUUGCGCGGACGGAGCGGCCGAUGGCAGAUUAGGUAGUUGGUGGGAUAAAAGCUUACCAAGCCGACGAUCUGUAGCUGGUCUGAGAGGACGACCAGCCACACUGGGACUGAGACACGGCCCAGACUCCUACGGGAGGCAGCAGUGGGGAAUUUUGGACAAUGGGCGAAAGCCUGAUCCAGCCAUGCCGCGUGCAGGAUGAAGGCCUUCGGGUUGUAAACUGCUUUUGUACGGAACGAAAAGACUCUUUCUAAUAAAGAGGGUCCAUGACGGUACCGUAAGAAUAAGCACCGGCUAACUACGUG
rnacentral:rRNA from 1 species